rnacentral:misc_RNA from 1 species
CAUUUUCGUUUUUUUUUUUUUGCCCCUCGCGGUCAAUUUGCGAUCCCCCUUGGGUGAACUCCGAAGCGAUUUGCGAUCCCCCUUGGAUGAACUCCGAAGUCAAGCGUCGGGCUCGGAACGAUCUUUCCGAAACGUACUCACGGGCCCCGUGAGUCCAUCGGGAUCGAAAGUUUGGGGCGUGAACGCGGAGACGGGCGGAUUCCGUUUAUUGAGAAAUUAACUUUUCCCGUGUUUCGUCGUGGGGUCCCGUCGAUUGAACGGAAAUUGCGCGAAGUCGAACGCUCGAGACUCCUCUCGAGAAGAGAGAGUGAUUCGCUUCAAGUAAAUAUGCAAUGCAUAACAUGAC